rnacentral:rRNA from 1 species
UACGGGGGGAGCAAGCGUUGUUCGGAUUUACUGGGCGUAAAGGGCGCGCAGGCGGUCGUUCAAGUCGCGUGUGAAAGCCCCCGGCUCAACUGGGGAGGGUCACGCGAUACUGAUCGACUCGAAGGCAGGAGAGGGUAGUGGAAUUCCCGGUGUAGUGGUGAAAUGCGUAGAUAUCGGGAGGAACACCAGUGGCGAAGGCGACUACCUGGCCUGUUCUUGACGCUGAGGCGCGAAAGCUAGGGGAGCAAACGGG